GUUAGCAGCCGUACCACCUGCAAUUCAGACUAGGUAAUGCACCUGAAGCUAAGCAAGUUUGGGUCUGACCGGUACUUGGAUGGUUGACCAACAAGGAAAGCUGGGCUGCUGCUGGAA
rnacentral:rRNA from 1 species